GGCCAUGUGGCGGAAUUGGCAGACGCGCCGGACUUGGACUCCGGUGUCCACCUGAUGGACGUGUGGGUUCGAAUCCCACCAUGGCCACCA
rnacentral:tRNA from 1 species